AACGAACGCUGGCGGCGCGUCUUAAGCAUGCAAGUCGAACGGCAAGAAAGAAGCUUGCUUCUUUCCUAGAGUGGCGGACUGGUGAGUAACGCGUGGGUAAUCUGCCUUUAAGAUGGGGAUAGCCGCUAGAAAUAGCGGAUAAUACCGAAUACACUUCAAGCUUCAAAAGGAGCAUGAAGGAAAGGAAGCUAAGGCUUCGCUUAAAGAUGAGCCUGCGUCCCAUUAGCUAGUUGGUAAGGUAACGGCCUACCAAGGCGACGAUGGGUAUCCGGCCUGAGAGGGUGAUCGGACACAUUGGGACUGAGAUACGGCCCAAACUCCUACGGGAGGCAGCAGCUAAGAAUAUUCCGCAAUGGACGGAAGUCUGACGGAGCGACGCCGCGUGGAUGAAGAAGGCUGAAAAGUUGUAAAAUCCUUUUGUUGAUGAAGAAUAAGGGGAAGAGGGAAUGCUUCUCUGA
rnacentral:rRNA from 1 species